rnacentral:rRNA from 1 species
GAUGAACGCUGGCGGCGUGCCUAACACAUGCAAGUCGAGCGAAGCACUCUACUCGAUUUCUUCGGGAUGAAGGUUUAGUGACUGAGCGGCGACGGGUGAGGUACGCGUGGUAACCUGCCUCAUACAGGGGGAUAACAGUUAGAAAUGACUGCUAAUACCGCAUAAGCGCACGUCAUCGCAUGAUGGUGUGUGAAAAACUCCGGUGGUAUGAGAUGGACCCGCGUCUGAUUAGGUAGUUGGUGGGUAACGGCCCACCAAGCCGACGAUCAGUAGCCGACCUGAGAGGGUGACCGGCCACAUUGGGACUGGAGACACGGCCCAA